GGGCGUCUACCUAUCAUGGAGAAGACUACAGGAUACCAGUGUAACUCAGCUUAUUUUCCAAAAACUGGUUGCGAGAGGUGUGCUGUUAGAAAAGCCACACAGCUCGACAGUCACAGUACAGUGAUCAAGAUUAGUGACAGUGCGGCAGAGGGUUGGCGGUGUGUGUGUGACUGUGUGCGAGCGUGUCUGUCCAGCUGCAGAAAGUGUGAGGACAAGAUGCGACUCUUCACCACCAAAGAACACCCUAAUGGCCUUAAGGUCAUGGUGGCGAGUAAGCUGUCCGGGCGGCAGGUGGAGGUGACGCAUGUACCUGAUAUAUUGGAGGGAGCAGCACUGGAGGUGAGUGAGGCUGGGGUGACAUUCCAUCUUCAGGCCAACAGUGCCGUAUUGUACUUCCUCCAUAAGACUGACCAGGGGGGCAGCAGUGAUGGCAACAAUGAUGCUGAGGCGUGGCUGGAAUGGGAGUCAAGUCAGCUUCAGCCAGUUUUGGUGCCGUAUCUGCUGUCUGUGGCAGGAGGGCGGGAGGAUAAGGAACUGAGGGCAGCCCUGCAAUCCCUGCUGACCACACUCACCACCUCACACUCUCUCAACACCAAGGAAGUGAAUGCAGCAACAGUGGUGUUGUUUUGCUCACUGGUGCCCCUGCAGAGUGAAGUGGUCAGUGCCAGCCUCUUGAAGGAACAGCCAAAUCUAUUGGCAUACCUCACCAGCCUCAGGGAGGUGCCCUCCAUUAAAGAAUGUGUAGCCUCAUGGUGGAAUGGUGGCAGCAGUACUCUGAAGAAUUGGGUAGGUUGUGUUGCACCACCAUCUUCUCCUUCCCACUCUACCUUGGCACUCCUCAAGGGCUCACCACCUGCCACCCCUGGCCGGGCAGCUCCUGCCACCCCUGCUGACCAGAGCAAACCAGUGCGAGCAACAGUUUCACCAGAAGCAGUGAAGGAAGCUGAACAGUGGUGGCAACAGCCGUCCAAGGCCUGUCCUGCCCCAAGGAACUGGAGUUCUCCUAUCUUGCCUGUCAAGGGAGAGAGCAACAUCCUGGUGACUUCUGCAUUGCCGUAUGUCAACAAUGUGCCUCACCUUGGGAAUAUCAUUGGCUGUGUGUUGUCCUCAGACUGCUUUGCCAGGUUCUGCCGGCUGCGUGGUGACAACAUCCUCUUUGUGAGUGGGACGGAUGAGUAUGGCACAGCAACAGAGACCAAGGCCAUUGCUGAGGGGCUCACCCCUCAGCAAAUUUGUGAUAAAUACAAUGCCAUCCAUUCUGAUGUUUACCAGUGGUUCAACAUAUCCUUUGAUUACUUUGGGCGAACCACAACAGAGCAGCAGACACAGAUUGCCCAGGACAUUUUCAACAAGCUGGACAGGAACAAGUACAUCUGCCAGGAGUCGGUGGAGCAGCUAUACUGUGCUAAAUGUCAACGGUUUUUGGCUGAUAGAUUUGUGGAAGGGACGUGCCCCCAUCCAGGCUGUGGGUAUGAAGAUGCACGAGGAGACCAAUGUGAUGGUUGCAGUAAGUUGGUCAAUGCCAUGGAGCUGGUGCGGCCAAGGUGCAAACUUUGCUCUAGCACUCCUGAGGUAAGAUCCUCUAAUCAUCUCUUCCUUGAUCUUCCCUCCAUUGAACCAAAAUUGAAGACUUGGCUACCUAACUCUGCCCCACAGUGGACUUCCAAUGCCCAAGUCAUCUGUGAUUCCUGGGUCAAGGAUGGCCUCAAGCAGCGUUGCAUCACACGAGACCUUAAAUGGGGCACUCCAGUCCCUAAGGAUAACUUCAGAGAGAAAGUCUUCUAUGUGUGGUUUGAUGCCCCCAUUGGAUACAUCAGUAUGACUGCCUGCUACACAGACCAGUGGCAGCAGUGGUGGCUCAACCCUGACCAGGUGAAGUACUACCAAUUCAUGGCCAAGGACAAUGUUCCUUUCCACAGUGUGGUAUUCCCAUCCACUCUGCUGGGGACAGGGCAAAACUGGACCAAGGUGACCCAUCUUGUGGCCACAGAGUACCUCAACUAUGAGGAUACCAAGUUCUCCAAAAGUCGUGGUAUUGGUGUGUUUGGUGACCAGGCAGCCUCCACCGGCAUUCCUAGUGAUGUAUGGCGAUUCUAUCUCCUGUAUCUUCGUCCUGAGGCCCAGGACACGUCAUUCUCCUGGGUUGACCUGCAGACCAAAAACAACAGUGAACUGCUCAACAACCUUGGCAAUUUUGUCCAUCGAGCAUUGACCUUUGUUUUCAAGUUCUUUGGAGGAGCUAUUCCUGCUGUUAAUCCUUCCAAUCAGGACUUUGAGGUGAUGGCAGCUAUUAACAAAGAACUGAGGCAGUACACCUCAUCACUUGCCUGCAACCACCAGCGUGAUGGGUUGCGGGCAGUGCUGUCCAUUGCCAGAAUUGGAAAUCAGUACAUUCAGGACCAGGAGCCAUUCAAAUUAGUGAAACCUAACCGGCCACCAGAGGACAGGGAGCGUGGGGCUACGGUGACGGCCAUAGCAGCAAACAUUGUGGCACUGGUGGCCAUUGUCGUGGAGCCGUUUAUGCCAGAGACAUCAGGUCGUAUUAAGGACCUCCUUGGUAACCCACCACAGCUCAAGUACCUCCCUCAGGCCUUUACUCAGUUCCUAGCAAGUGGUCAUGUCAUCAAAGAACCUCAGCCUCUCAUUACACAGCUGGACACUGAACUCAUAGAGAGGUUAAGUAAACAGUUUGGGGGUGAGACCAAAGCUCCAGCUGCAGCAAAGAAAGAGGUCAACCCUGCAGAGGUAGCUCAGCUCCAGGCACAGAUUGAGGCUCAGGGUAACAAGGUACGUCAGAUGAAAGCAGGAGGAACAGCAAGCAAAGCAGAGGUGGCAGCAGAGGUGGCCAUACUAAUCAGCCUCAAGGGACAGCUGGCCACUGCACAAGGGGUUGAGGCAACUCCAACAGGUGAUAAAGACAAGAAGAAAAGCAAAAAAGGAGGUGGAGGAGGAAAGGAGAGUACAAAACAAUCUCCUGCUACUGCCAGUGCAUCUGCUCAGUCACCUUCAAAUACUCCAGUUAAUGAAGCAGAAGUGAACAGGUUACAGGCUCUUGUCACACAGCAGGGUGAUAAGGUUCGUGGUCUGAAGACCAGCGGUGCAUCCAAGGAAGCCGUGGCCCCAGAGGUUGCUGUCUUGCUGGACCUGAAGCAGCAGUUGGCUGCUGCUCAAGGGAUUGACCCAGCCACCCUCUCUGGGAAAGACAAGAAGAAGAAAAACAGGCGUGAUGGCAAUGUAGGCUGUUCCUGUGCUCUGUGAUGUAAGGUAAACCAAAGAACAAAAGAGUAUUUUUCCUGACACUAACUUUCUUGCACCAGUUAAUGAUUAUCCAAGAACCAGAUUGAAGAGUGGAGAGGCAUUUUCUUGGGUCUGCUAACAGUGCUCCUCUUUCUUAGGAUCUUAUUCAUGGAUCUUUUACUUCUAUUUACUCCCAGUGGUGAUGCAGAAUUCUUGUUUAACUAUCAAUAGUAUCAUGAAAAUACUGAUGAAAACUCCAGUAAUUCACACUUAAGCUUUUAAAAGUAAAUAAGAUACCAGUAAGUUUAAGACUACAAGUCUUGGAGUGAGGGGACUGUGCUGCAUCUUGAACAUCAUACUCUAUGGGUAUGCUACAUUCAGUACAUUGUCAUUUAUAUUCUACAUUUUUAAUUGAGAAAAAAGAAAUGGCAGACUAAAAAUGUUUAUCUUUAUCUGGAUUGGUAAAAAGAAUUGCUAUGUAUAAGUACCAAGUAAGAUAAGUAAGAUUGAUGCACCAAUUAACACAAACAAGAAAAGUUGACAAAAUGAGAGAUGGUUGUGGAUAAAGGGUCAGAAUGUAAGAGUGUAAGCUGAAUGAAUGCUAACAAAAUCUACUAAGUUCCAGAUCAUUACAGGUUGUAGACAGUUCACUUUCAUUAACUUCCAAUCUGUUAUGCAUUUCCCAGCAGUCUAAGUUCUCUCAUUUUGUGGCAGUCUUGUAAUCACACAACUGGACAAGACUAUCAGUAGAUCAGAUCAUCAGAGUUCUUGACUUUGAGGAAAAAUGCAAAACAAGCGUGGAAGUGAAUGUGGCAAGUUGAUCUACCUAUUGGUGACUGUAACUUUACUCUUGGUUGAAUGGGAACACCAGAGUGAGUUUUUUUCUUUUUUACUCUUUUUUUUUCUUGUAAGAGAUAGAAUGGAUGAGAGUGGGCAGUACCAUGGCAUAUAGUGAUGUAUAGUUGUAUGGAAACUCUAGUAUGUGGUAAAGUUAGUUAUGAUAUUCAGGAAUGGUAAGAUGUACUUGGAAGUCGUGUGAUAUUGUUUUGUAGUUUUAUGACAUGUACUAUAUAUUCUUUGGGAAAGGAUUGCACAUAACUUAAUUCUAUGGGCACUCCUCACUUGUGGGCAGAAGUUGUUUGAGCCAUCAAUAGCCACCUUGUGAUUCACAGUGGGAAGUGUAGAUUAUGCAACAAUUAAUGAUGAGAGACUGCUGUUUUCAGGACAAAGUAUACUCAUUUGUGACUUGCCAUGCCUUCUAUUUCAGGCGUUAAAUUUAGAUUAGCAAACGGAUAAGAGAAGAGUAUCAAACUGAGGUGCUACUACUUAUAAGGCCUUAUUAGCUCUUCCCCUCCCCCAAUCUCUCUCUCUCUCUCAUUCAUUCAUUCAUUCAUUCAUUCAUUCAUUCAUUCAUUCAUUCAUUCAUUCAUUCAUUCUCUCUCUCUCUCUCUCUCUCUCUCUCUCUCUCUCUCUCUCUCUCUCUCUCUCUCUCUCUCUCUCUCUCUCUCUCUCUCUCUCUCUCUCUCUCUCUCUCUCUCUCCAAUGUAAUCAGAUCCCGCUUGUGUGAAAGUAAUGAACACCAUCAAUAAGAAGUGUGUAGCUAGAAAGUUAGUGUGUGCAUUACAUUCCCUUUCAUAGAGGUAAGUGUCAUGACCAUGUUCAUUAUAGGAGACUAGAACUUUGCUUGGGUAUGUAUGUAUAUUGAGCAAGAUGAAGCUGAUCGAGAUGUACUGAGGCCUUGAUGCUCGUCUUGGACCAACUGGUAAGGUGUUGGAUGUAUUGUGAGGGUUCUGACAGCUUUGAUUCCCGAUGAAAUAAUUUUUUUGCCAAUAUAUUUCACCCUGCACUCAAUUUCUUUUUUCCACAAUGCUUCAAAUUCAUCUUCCUUUCGAGACAGCACAGAUGGAAGUUCACUGUACCUACACCUCCACCUCCCAACUUACAUUACAGCACGGAGGUUAUGUCGUGAAUCCCGCUGUCACUGAGUGACAGACAUAAUGCAGCUUUGGAUGUCAGACAACGCUGGGUCAAGCAGCUCUCCCCUUUAGUGGAUCUGGAAGAUGACGUGAUUGAAGAGGCCCAACACUGCCACUAAAUCAUAGUAUGUUUGCUGCUCCACAAGGAAAUUUAAAUCCCCAUGAUGAAGACAUUCUUGAGGACAUUCUUGCAGCCAUGAGUUCAGAGCAAAUUCUCUAGUUCCACCACCAGCAAGUAGUGUGAUGAAUAUGUGAAAUGUGUGUGUGAACUAAAACAAAAUGUAAAAUUGUAAUUAGCAUCUCUGAAUAGUGUAAUAAACCAGCUACAAGACCAAGCAAGAUGCAAGUGGCAUGAAACCUCAAUAAAUGUUUUGUAAAAAGAAA